ACAUAGCUACGUUGUUCGUAACGAUAAUAAAGUUUUAACCUUUAUACUUAUAUAGGGAGUUUUACAUUGAAGCCUAUAUGACAAGCCUUCGUCUAUACGACAGGGAGGACAUGCAAAAUAGGUUUUUGCGAACACCCACUUUGAGGAGUGGUGGUUUAAAACUUUCUUAAUAAAGUUACGGCAAUUGUGGCUUGUU
rnacentral:other from 1 species